UACGUAGGGUGCAAGCGUUAAUCGGAAUUACUGGGCGUAAAGCGUGCGCAGGCGGUUAUGCAAGACAGAGGUGAAAUCCCCGGGCUCAACCUGGGAACUGCAUUUGUGACUGUAGAGCUGGAGUACGGUAGAGGGGGAUGGAAUUCCGCGUGUAGCAGUGAAAUGCGUAGAUAUGCGGAGGAACACCGAUGGCGAAGGCAAUCCCCUGGACCUGUACUGACGCUCAUGCACGAAAGCGUGGGGAGCAAACAGG
rnacentral:rRNA from 1 species